AGAUGGGAGCUUGCUCCCUGAUGUUAGCGGCGGACGGGUGAGUAACACGUGGGUAACCUGCCUGUAAGACUGGGAUAACUCCGGGAAACCGGGGCUAAUACCGGAUGCUUGAUUGAACCGCAUGGUUCAAUUAUAAAAGGUGGCUUUUAGCUACCACUUACAGAUGGACCCGCGGCGCAUUAGCUAGUUGGUGAGGUAACGGCUCACCAAGGCAACGAUGCGUAGCCGACCUGAGAGGGUGAUCGGCCACACUGGGACUGAGACACGGCCCAGACUCCUACGGGAGGCAGCAGUGGG
rnacentral:rRNA from 1 species